rnacentral:rRNA from 1 species
GAUGAACGCUGGCGGCGUGCCUAAUACAUGCAAGUCGAGCGAAUGGAUUAAGAGCUUGCUCUUAUGAAGUUAGCGGCGGACGGGUGAGUAACACGUGAGUAACCUGCCCAUAAGACUGGGAUAACUCCGGGAAACCGGGGCUAAUACCGGAUAACAUUUUGAACCGCAUGGUUCGAAAUUGAAAGGCGGCUUCGGCUGUCAAUUAUGGAUGGACCCGCGUCGCAUUAGCUAGUUGGUGAGGUAACGGCUCACCAAGGCAACGAUGCGUAGCCGACCUGAGAGGGUGAUCGGCCACACUGGGACUGAGACACGGCCCAGACUCCUACGGGAGGCAGCAGUAGGGAAUCUUCCGCAAUGGACGAAAGUCUGACGGAGCAACGCCGCGUGAGUGAUGAAGGCUUUCGGGUCGUAAAACUCUGUUGUUAGGGAAGAACAAGUGCUAGUUGAAUAAGCUGACACCUUGACGGUACCUAACCAGAAAGCCACGGCUAACUACGUGCCAGCCGCCGCAGUAA